UUAAUACUGGAACUACAACAACGAAUACGUCAUGUACUCUGACAUCUGAAGACAGUAAAUGGCAGAAAAACUUCAUGUACACAUGCCUGGCAUCUAUUUCCAAGGUCUAAAGCAAAAGUUUCUCAACCAUGGAGAUAGAUGCUCAAAUUUCCUGGGAAACGUUUUGUCACUGAACACCUACUCCUUCAAGAUUCUGGUGCAUCUACCUUGGAUGUAGUUGUGAGCCACAUGUAGAGAAUGAUCAAGGAAAGACAACAGGGCUCCAAUUCUUCUGAAGCACUUUUUGACUCAAAGUCUUUUGAUGUCCAUUUUUUCACCACUCUAUAACGUCUUCUGUGUCAUCAAAAUUACUGUUGGUGUAGAAGUUCAAAGGAAAAAAUGCUAAAAGAACUAAAGUCUUUAGUGCUGUGCUUUUAAACUGACUUUGCAAUUGUGUAGAACUGCCUUUUGAGACCCACUCCAAGAAUGUGGUUAAACAAUUCUGAUACAUCCCCCCUCGACCUUUUCCUCAUAACCAUUUAGUUUAGAGUAAUGGUUAAAGAAUGCUCUACUACUAUCAUUCCAAGCUGCUGACACUCAUUCUGUAAGUUCUGAUGUCCACCAAAAAAGGAGCUGAAUAGCCAAAGCAAUCCUGAGCAAAAAGUACAAAGCUGAAGGCACCAUAACAUUACCCAACUUCAAAGUAUACUACAAAGCUACAGUAACCAAAACAGCAUGGUACUGGAACAAAAAUAGACAUAUAGACCAAUGGAACAUAAUAGAGAACCCAGAAAUAAAGCCUCACACCUACAACCCUCUGAUCUGCAACAAAGUCAACAAAGACAAGCAAUGGGGAAAGGACUCCCUAUUCAAUAAAUGGUGCUAGGAUAACUGGCUAACCAUAUGCAGAAGACUGAAACUGGAUGCCUUCCUUACACCAUAUACAAAUAUCAACUCAAGAUGGAUUAAAGUCUUCAUAUAAAACCUAAAACUAUAAAAAAGCUUGAAAAAAAUCUAGGAAAUGCCAUUCUAAAUGUAGACCCUGUCAAAAUUUCAUGAUGAAGAUGGCAAAAGCAAUUGUAACAAGAAGAAAAACUGACAAAUGGGACUUAAUUCAACAAAGGAGCGUCUGCACAGCAAAAGAAACAAUCAACAAAGUAAACAGACAACCUAUUAAAUCGAAGAGAUUAUUUGCCAAUAUGCAUUUGACAAAGGUCUAAUAUGCAGAAUCUGUAAGGUACUUAAACUAAUUAACAAGCAAAAAAACAAACAGCCCCAUUAAAAAGUGGGCAAAGGACAUGAACAGACAUUUUUCAAAAGAAGACCAACAUGGCCAAUAAGCAUAUAAAAAAAUGCUCAACAUCACUAAUUGUUAGAGAAAUGCAAAUCAAAAGCACAAUGAAAUACAGAUACCAUCUCACACCAGUCAGAAUGGCUAUAAUAUUAUCAAAAAGUGAAAUAACAGAUGCUGGCAAGGCUGUGGAGAAAAGGGAACAAUUAUUCACGGCUGUGGGAAUGUAAAUUACUUCAGCCACUGUGGAAAACAGGCAAUUUCUCAAAGAACUUAACAUGGAAUUACCAUCAGACCUGGCAAUUCCAUUAUUGGGUAUAUACUCAAAGGAAUAUAAAUUGUUCUACUAUAAAGACACAUACAUAUACAUGUCCGUGACAGCACUAUUCACAAUAGCAAAGACAUGGAAUCCACCUAGAUGCCCAUUAACGGUAGAUUGGAUAAAGAAAAUGCGGUACAUAUGCACCAUGGAAUACUAUCCAGUCAUAAAACAAAAAACAUAAAACAAAAAAAAACCCGAGAUCAUGUCCUUUGCAGCAAUGUGGAUGAAGCUGGAGGCCAUAAUCCUAAGGCAACUAGUGCAGGAACAGAAAACCAAACAUCUCAUGUUCUUACUUAUAACUGGGAGCUAAACAAUGGGUACACAUGGACACAAAGAAGGGAACAAUAGAUACCGGAGCCUACUUGAGGGUGAAGGGUGGGAAGAGGGUGAGGAUCCAAAAACCACUUAUCAGAUGCUAUGCUUAUUAUCUGGGUGAUGAAAUAAUCUGUACACCAAACCCCUGUGACAUGUGACUUAUCUAUAGAACCAACCUACGCAUGUAUGCCUGA
rnacentral:lncRNA from 10 species